CAUAAAAUAAAAAGUUUUUGUUCUAAAUAAAAUUGAACUUACAGUUCCAGUGUAAAGUACUAUAUGUACAAAUUUGCCUGUUAAUUGCAAAUGAAGACCAAACUAUAGCCUUAUUCCUCAAUUCCAAAUUGAAAUACAUGCUUAACAAGAAGAUACCAAGCACAAGUGAGUGAUGCCAAUAGAAACCUGACACGUGGUCAGAGAUCAACACAAAACAAUCCUGCUAGCAGAAAAAAGGAUGACAAAUAGUCAUCCCAACAUGUACAAAUGGCACAUGGUAACAAACAAUGAUACAAAUGG